AGAAUAUUCUCUCAUUUCAGUUCUCUCAUAAAUAAUAGAUAUGGAGUCAAAGGAAAAGAGCUUAGAAUAUUAGAAUUUUAAAUAUGGAAUUGUUCUUAGGAAUCAACCAUAGCAACUGCCUUUUCACAGGAAAGGUAUGGUGCCAGAGUUGUGACCAGAUGACCAACACUGAAUUUCCAGUUGUAUUACAUAAUUCAUAACAAGAUCUGUGGGAAUGGUUUUCUGAGAAUGAAGAGCAUGCUGCUGAAGAAGAGCGGUGAGAGCAGACAUCCUUGGAGUUCAGAGAGGAGAACGCAUCCAGUCUCUUGCCAUUAAGGAUUAUGUUGGCUGUUGGUUUCUCAUGGAUGUUUUUCUAAAGUUGUCUAGAAGACCGGAAAUGUCUAAGAGCAAUGAGUAGAAAGUGGUGCAUACUCUCAGCAGCAAGAUUUGCAUGUCACUCUGCUUGUAAGGAUUCCAAUGUGUAGUAUUUUCUAUUUAACUGUGUAUUUAAAAAAUAAAUAAAAUCAAGAAAUUUUUGAAAACAUUAUAUAA
rnacentral:lncRNA from 1 species